UGAAAAUGUAAACAACAAAGAUCGGGCCCCGGUUCCGGACCCAGCGUACCCGCCCUACCAUGAGACGAUCACCUCCACUCGUCUCCCUCAUUUUGGCCACUAAAUGGCCUAUAUUAGCCCGUGUCGGCCAUAAUGCCCACUCUCCCCAACAAUAUUAUUUUAGCCGGACAUGAUUUCUUUCAAUAGCUGUUUAGGAUCUCAUGCAAGCGGAUAAUUCAUUAACUUCACAGAAUUAAUUUUUUUUUUAUUUUUUUUACAACACUGAAUGGAACAGGCGACGAAAUACUACAAGGAUAUUGCUAGUCGCCGCAAAAGAAACGCGCACGGAGGCACUUUAGAGGCAAUCGUUGCGCCGAUUUAGGAACAAUGGCCCACACAAUUACUUAAAACUGGAGCUCUCUGGGGGUGGUAAGGGGCGAUAUAAAUGCGUAAAUUCAAAUUAGGCGCAGAUGCAUCACCUUUGGAGUUUCCC